CCUACGGGGUGCAGCAGUGAGGAAUAUUGGUCAAUGGACGAGAGUCUGAACCAGCCAAGUAGCGUGAAGGAUGACUGCCCUAUGGGUUGUAAACUUCUUUUAUAUGGGAAUAAAACGUUCCACGUGUGGGAUUUUGUAUGUACCAUAUGAAUAAGGAUCGGCUAACUCCGUGCCAGCAGCCGCGGUAAUACGGAGGAUCCGAGCGUUAUCCGGAUUUAUUGGGUUUAAAGGGAGCGUAGGUGGAUUGUUAAGUCAGUUGUGAAAGUUUGCGGCUCAACCGUAAAAUUGCAGUUGAAACUGGCAGUCUUGAGUACAGUAGAGGUGGGCGGAAGUCGUGGUGUAGCGGUGAAAUGCUUAGAUAUCACGAAGAACUCCGAUUGCGAAGGCAGUUCACUGGACUGCAACUGACACUGAGGCUCGAAAGUGUGGGUAUCAAACAGGAUUAGAUACCCUAGUAGUC
rnacentral:rRNA from 1 species